AUUCAAGAUUGGGAUGGGAGCUCUUCUCUCAGGUGCUCGUUUGAUUUCAGAUGGAAUGUCGCAAGCAGUUUCUGAAUGCCUUGCUUCAUAUAUUACAGACAAAGAAAUUCAGAGUGGUGUUUUGUAUCCUCCUACAAGAAGUUAAAAGACAAACAAAAGAGAAAAAGCAAAACAAACAGAUUAGGGACCAGCGGAGCCCUACCUACGAGAGCUGCACCCAAUCAUGUUCGCCACAACUUGACUGC